CCUACGGGAGGCUGCAGUGGGGAAUAUUGGGCAAUGGGCGCAAGCCUGACCCAGCAACGCCGCGUGAAGGAAGAAGGCUUUCGGGUUGUAAACUUCUUUUCUGAGGGACGAAGGAAGUGACGGUACCUCAGGAAUAAGCCACGGCUAACUACGUGCCAGCAGCCGCGGUAAUACGUAGGUGGCAAGCGUUGUCCGGAUUUACUGGGUGUAAAGGGCGUGCAGCCGGAGAGACAAGUCAGAUGUGAAAUCCACGGGCUCAACCCGUGAACUGCAUUUGAAACUGUUUCCCUGGAGUGUCGGAGAGGUAAUCGGAAUUCCUGGUGUAGCGGUGAAAUGCGUAGAUAUAAGGAAGAACACCAGUGGCGAAGGCGGAUUACUGGACGAUAACUGACGGUGAGGCGCGAAAGCGUGGGGAGCAAACAGGAUUAGAUACCCGGGUAGUC
rnacentral:rRNA from 1 species